UGGGAUGCCUUCCUCUAUCCUCCUCUCUACCGGUUGGAAAGGUUGCUGACUGUAUUCAGGAUUCUCUGAAGAGUAACAGCGGUGUGCCACAUUCUGGCUGUGACAAACAGAGAACAGAUGAUGCUGUCAACAGGCACCAGGGUCUCCUGAGAGAGCUGCAGGAUCUAGCCCAGGAGGGUCAGUCUGACUACGGUUAUUAGCUAAUACUUUACUAGUGAAGUACCCAGGGACGGACUGGGAUCAGAAAUUGGUACACAGCGAUAUGGAAUAUCAAAAUAUACUGAUUUAUUAAGAGAAUCAGUCUAAUUGUUGCAAUAGCUUUGCUAUGCUAUGUUGGUUUUAGAGUCAGGUAAUUAUACAUGUAAAUAACAUGUAAAUCCAGAUCAAAUCUUUAUAAACAUGUUUUGUUGUACUUGUUGUAAUAUGCUUUAAAUUGUACAGUAACUAUCUACCUCAAUUUACUUUAUUCUUACAGAGAGGGAAAAAGAGAGAGAGUAUGGGAGGGAGAACGAGCGAUAUGAGGAGAACCAGGCUGAGGGAGAGAGGGACAGAGAGGGGAGGAAGGAGGAGCAGAAUAAUGACAAGAAGGAGACUGAGAAAGAAGAGCUGAGAGAGAAAGAGACGCAGGCAGAUGGGGUAGAGGAGGAGGAGAAGGUGGAGAUGAAGGACAGAACAAAUGAGGAGAUAAGGGAAGAGCCCAGACUGGAGGAGAAAAGGGGGGAUGAGGAAGAGAGCGCCAAAGAGUUGGAGGAGCUCCUCGCAAAGGAGAUAAGGAAGAUAGGAGAGGAGGAAAAAGAGGACAGGGAGCUUGAGGAGCUGCUCAAAGAGCUGAAGAAGAAAAGGUACGAGUCUGUGAAGGAGAAAGAGCUCCAGAGAGGGUCAGAAGCAGAGGAGGAGAGGAAGAAGGAUGAGGAGGAGGAGCAGAAAAAGGGAGAGAAAGAGCAGCUAGAUAUUCUUGAGAAGGAAGAGAGGAAACGCAGCGAGGAGAGGAAGAACAAUGAGGUGGAGCUGCUGGUGGAGAAAGGGAAGGUGGAGCGGGAGCUCAAGGAGCUGCUGGAGGAACAGGACAGCAUGAAGAAUGUGGAGAAGGAGAAAGAGAGGGAGGAAAAACAGGAGGAACUGGAGGAGCUCCUCAAAAAGAUGAAACGUGUGCAAGAGGAGGAGGAGCGAGAAGAGGAGGAGAGGAAGAGAGGGAAUGCCGGGGAUGAGGUGAAAGUGGACAAAGAGAGCCAGAAGGAGGGAGAGAUUCACAAGGAAUUAGAGAAGGUGAAAGAAAGAGAGAGUGAGAAGGAGGUUAAGGAGCCUCAGCAGAAGAGAGUAAUGGAGAAAGCGAGUGAUGAGUCGACCCGUCAGUUUGAAAAGGAGAGGAACAGGGACGAUGAUGAUGACGACGAUGAUGAAGAAGCAGAUGAGGAAGAUGAUGAUGAAAACAAUGAGGAUUGGGAAGAGGAAGAGGAGGACAAAAAGGAGGAUGUUGAGGAGGAUGAAGGAGCGGAGCUUUUGGAGAUUGAGGCAGAGCUGCGAAAAGUGGCUGCAGAGCUUCGGGAGCUUCACAGGAGUCGUUAA
rnacentral:lncRNA from 13 species